rnacentral:rRNA from 1 species
GCCAGCAGCUAUAUCACCCUGCAAAUCAGGUGUAAGCCUGUCCAGUACCUGGAUGGGAGAUCUCCUGGGAAAGCUAGUUGCUGCUGGAA